CUCCGUUUCAGACUGUGUGGGGCUGAUACCAAAGCGGUUGGCUAUCAUAGAGUGGAUCUGUCUCUGACGGUCCUUCUUACGGACGCUCUCGUAGGACGGAAGGCGGGGCAGGAUCCCAUCCAGGUGAUAGCUACUGGGCUUACCGAUGAUAAACAGCCUCCCUGGAAGCUGCAGACACACACCAAACAUGUUUAUAUGAUAUCACUUUUUCUAUUUUUCAAGAGUUGAUCUGAUUGCUCAAAAGACCAGUUAGUGGAAAAAGAUCAGAAUUGGGCUGCCUGUGUAAACGCAGCCUAAUUACAAACGACACUGGGCAUCAAUAACAAUGUGAAAGCAGGUCAGAUGGUUUUUAAAUAGAGAUUAUAAUAGGGAGAAGUGAAUGAAUUAAUACCUAAAUCUCGAUGUGUAAUAGGGGAGUGUGGGGUAAGUUGAGCCACCCUUGUUUCUAGUAAACCAUACACAAAAUGUAUAAUUUUACCGAAUAUUUAGGAAGAGGUCAUAAUUUCAUGGACUUUGUGGAGGAAGUAACCACAUGGAAAAAGUGUUUAAGCAAGUUAGGUACAAAAAACAAGCUUCUCUAUAAGCUUCAAUAUGAGGUUCUAAACCUAGCAUGAAAGUGCAUCCUUGUAGCUGUGUGGGCUAAUAUAGUUCAAAUGUUUGCCUUAGGGUAGAUUGAGCCAAUGGCCAUGUUUAAUUUGAGUCAAUAGUUUGAGUCAAAUUGAGCAAAUGUAAAUGUUUUCUUCCCAGGCGUAAUGCAAGGCAUUAUUGCUGGGAUAUGAGGUAACAACAGGGCCUUGCCUGUGUUAAAAGUGUUUAAAAAAGUAUAAAGCGUUUGUUAGGUGUUAAGCCUGUGUUAAAACCCUCUUGAGUCCAUUUCCCCCCGUGGAAAUAUAAUUAGCAUAAUAAAAAAAAUCCCCAUACAUAUCUGUCUGUUAGGCAAGAGAUCUCUAUUAUAGUUUUGCUCUACAACCCCCACAAGCGUCACUAGACUCGUCUGAAGUCGGUACCGCCGAUCUGCCAACUUCUGUCUGUAGCGUCCAAACGUUUUGGGCUACACACUAAUGUGACCCCUCUAUGGAAAGGUGACUCUUUCAUUACAUGCACAGUACAUGUCGGUUGUUUUGCUCUAGGACGCCGACAAGCCUCACAAGACUCGCCUGAAGGUGCCCAGUACCAGUUUAAAAAAUGAAUGGAAGUACAUACUGUGUGGAAGUAGUUUAGUGCCUAAAAAAGGGGCUAAAUAGGUGUAAAAAAAUACAUCUCCUGAUCUUUAUUUAAUCUCUCAGAUAUAGGACAUCUGUUUUUCCAUGUAUGAUUCUGUUAUUCAUUGCAUUUCUAUAGGCUAAUAGCAGUAAGGCCAAAUUCAAUGUUUCAUCAAAAAAAUUGUAAAAUACAUUUGGGAUACCUAAAUCCAGCGGCUCUACUUAACCUGUCCCGAGGCUCAACUUAACCUGUCCCGCGGCUCUACUUAACCUGUCCCGCGGCUCUCCUUACCCUGUCCCGCGGCUCUACUUACCCUGUCCCGAGGCUCAACUUACCCUGUCUCGCGGCUCUACUUACCCUGUCCCGCGGCUCAACUUACCCUGUCCCGCGGCUCUACUUACCCUGUCCCGCGGCUCAACUUAACCUGUCCCGGGGCUCAACUUACCCUGUCCCGCGGCUCUACUUACCCUGUCCCGGGGCUCAACUUACCCUGUCCUGCGACUCUACUUACCCCAUACCCUGAGUAAGUUAUGAUGAAAGACCACUUUUUUUGGACAAGCUAUGCUUUCAAAACUGUAAAGUUUACAUGUAUUCUGAUUAUUACCAGGUAUACACAACAUCCUGAAAUAUAUGUGGAUAUCUUUGUUAGAAAGAAUACCAUAUUUCCCUUGACAGGGUGAUGCUGAAUGAACAAAAUGGCUAAACUUACCCCACUCUCCCCUACUAUGUAAAGACGGAGGCUUUUUUUCACCUGGGAACCAAUGUUUCCGUGGGCCAUGGCAGCAGUACGUUCAUCGUAGGGAGACACCACUAGAGACUGUCUUCUGUUGUACUGGGGUGGAGCAUCCUGGGUAGGGAGAGAAGAGGGAAGACUUGUUAAAGUCUGUCUACACUACAGUGGAAAAUUGUCUUAAAUCUUACCAAAGUUCAGUCGGUGUAAAAUAAAGUUAUUCUAUUCUGUUCUAUUCUAAUAUGUUCUAUUCUGUUCUAUUCUAUCUUUACAAUUAGUAACGCAGCAGCAACAACAAAGGCAUGACAACAGUUCAAUACAAUUCUCCAAUGAAUUAACCUCUACCUAGGUUACUAGGCGGUGAUUGAGUAACUUGGCUAUAGAGCUAUAAUUACAUUUUCUUCAAGCCCAAUAAUAUACUCCACUAAAUUAGAAUCAGUCUUGAUAAGGACUACCAGAGCUGUUCUCCUGAUCUGAUGCAUGUUAUGCACAAUCGACCACACAAUGGAAAAUGCCUUUGCCAAAUUCUACAGUUAGAUCCAACCAUCUCUUUGUUUAUCCCUCUGACUCGGCUCUGACACUCUGUUGCAGUCUCAUGGAUACCUGUUCCCUACUGAUAACGGUAUAUGGAUUUUAACAUGAGACAUCAUUGUGCACACACAAUCCCCUGGCAGCCUCCAUAAUAUCACAGCAUCAUUUGUAAUUUAAUCAACUAAUACUGGUUUAACAAAGCAACAGUGUUGAUAUUUUCUAUGUUAAUAUUGAAAAUGUUUGGCUUGAAUGAGUGGAAGGAAAGGAGUGGGAGGCAAAUGGGUCUGGAGGAUGGCCUUCACUGUAACUGACUAGCAUGUGAUGCAAAGGAAAAACACACUCAUGAAAGGUUAUCUCAGAUGGUUGAAUAACAAAUUGCUGUAUAUUAACAGAAGAAUAACAAUGUUUUUGAUACAACCAACCAAAAGGUCAAAGGAGAGUUUAUCUGUGGUUGCAUUCUCAAUAGGGGAGAAAAAUAUGGAUACAAAAAGCAGGGGGUAAUGACCUUAACCUUAUCAACUGAGCUGUGCACUGCCUGCUCUCUCAGCUCUGUAUCAUAACAAAUACAGAAAACAGAGUUGCACAGGGAAAUAUUAUUCACGUAAACCUUUUAAAACAGCCACUACAGCCACUAGGGUUUGGCCAGGGUAGGCUGUCAUUGUAAAUAAGAAUUUGUUCUUAACUGACUUGCCUAGUUAAAUAAAAUAAAUAAAUAAUCUACUGUACACUAUAGGACUGUGCUCUACUGUACUGUGAUGUACCCUAAUCUACUGUACUCUAAAGGACUGUACUGUACUGUACUGCACACUAUAGGACUGUGCUCUACUGUACUGUGAUGUACCCUAAUCUACUGUACUCUAAAGGACUGUACUGUACUCUACUGUACUGUACACUAUAGGACUGUGCUCUACUGUACUGUGAUGUACCCUAAUCUACUGUACUCUACACUAUAGGACUGUGCUCUACUGUACUGUACUCUAUAGGACUGUACUCUACUGUACUGUACACUAUAGGACUGUGCUCUACUGUACUGUACUCUACUGUACUGUGCUCUACUGUACUGUACACUAUAGGACUGUGCUCUACUGUACUGUGAUGUACCCUAAAGGACUGUACUGUACUCUACUGUACUGUACACUAUAGGACUGUGCUCUACUGUACUGUGAUGUACCCUAAUCUACUGUACUCUAAAGGACUAGACUGUACUCUACUGUACUGUACACUAUAGGACUGUGCUCUACUGUACUGUGAUGAACCCUAAUCUACUGUACUCUAAAGGACAGUACUGUUCUCUACUGUACUGUACACUAUAGGACUGUGCUCUACUGUACUGUGAUGUACCCUAAUCUACUGUACUCUAAAGGACUGUACUGUACUCUACUGUACUGUACACAAUAGGACUCUGCUCUACUGUACUGUGAUGUACCCUAAUCUACUGUACUCUAAAGGACUGUACUGUACUCUACUGUACUGUACACUAUAGGACUGUGCUCUACUGUACUGUGAUGUACCCUAAUCUACUGUACUCUAAAGGACUCUACUGUACUCUACUGUACUGCACACUAUAGGACUGUGCUCUACUGUACUGUGAUGUACCCUAAUCUACUGUACUCUAAAGGACUGUACUGUACUCUACUGUACUGUACACUAUAGGACUGUGCUCUACUGUACUGUACACUAUAGGACUGUGCUCUACUGUACUGUGAUGUACCCUAAAGGACUGUACUGUACUCUACUGUACUGUACACUAUAGGACUGUGCUCUACUGUCCUGUGAUGUACCCUAAUCUACUGUACUCUAAAGGACUGUACUGUACUCUACUGUACUGUACACAAUAGGACUGUGCUCUACUGUACUGUACACUAUAGGACUGUACUCUACUGUACUGUGAUGUACCCUAAUCUACUGUACUCUAAAGGACUGUACUGUACUCUACUGUACUGUACACUAUAGGACUGUGCUCUACUGUACUGUGAUGUACCCUAAUCUACUGUACUCUAAAGGACUGUACUGUACUCUACUGCACUGUACACUAUAGGACUGUGCUCUACUGUACUGUGAUGUACCCUAAUCUACUGUACUCUAAAGGACUGUACUGUACUCUACUGUACUGUACACUAUAGGACUGUGCUCUACUGUACUGUGAUGUACCCUAAUCUACUGUACUCUAAAGGACUGUACUGUACUCUACUGUACUGUACACUAUAGGACUGUGCUCUACUGUACUGUGAUGUACCCUAAUCUACUGUACUCUAAAGGACUGUACUGUACUCUACUGUACUGUACACAAUAGGACUGUGCUCUACUAUACUGUGAUGUACCCUAAUCUACUGUACUCUAAAGGACUGUACUGUACUCUACUGUACUGUACACUAUAGGACUGUGCGCUACUGUACUGUACUCUACUGUACUGUGCUCUACUGUACUGUACACUAUAGGACUGUGCUCUACUGUACUGUGAUGUACCCUAAAGGACUGUACUGUACUCUACUGUACUGUACACUAUAGGACUGUGCUCUACUGUACUGUGAUGUACCCUAAUCUACUGUACUGUAAAGGACUGUACUGUACUCCACUGUACUGUACACUAUAGGACUGUGCUCUACUGUACUGUGAUGUACCCUAAUCUACUGUACUCUAAAGGACUGUACUGUACUCUACUGUACUGUACACAAUAGGACUGUGCUCUACUGUACUGUACACUAUAGGACUGUGCUCUACUGUACUGUGAUGUACCCUAAUCUACUGUACUCUAAAGGACUGUACUGUACUUUACUGUACUGUACACAAUAGGACUGUGCUCUACUGUACUGUACACUAUAGGACUGUACUCUACUGUACUGUGAUGUACCCUAAUCUACUGUACUCUAAAGGACUAGACUGUGCUCUACUGUACUGUACACUAUAGGACUGUGCUCUACUGUACUGUACACUAUAGGACUGUGCUCUACUGUACUGUACACUAUAGGACUGUGCUCUACUGUACUGUACACUAUAGGACUGUGCUCUACUGUACUGUACUGUACACUAUAGGACUGUACUCUACUGUACACUAUAGGACUGUACUCUACUGUACUGUACACUAUAGGACUGUACUCUACUGUACACUAUAGGACUGUACUCUACUGUACUGUACACUAUAGGACUGUGCUCUACUGUACUGUACACUAUAGGACUGUACUCUACUGUACUGUGCACUAUAGGACUGUGCUCUACUGUACUGUACACUAUAGGACUCUACUGUACUGUACACUAUAGGACUGUGCUCUACUGUACUGUACACUAUAGGACUGUGCUCUACUGUACUGUACACUAUAGGACUGUGCUCUACUGUACUGUACACUAUAGGACUGUGCUCUACUGUACUGUACUGUACACUAUAGGACUGUACUCUACUGUACACUAUAGGACUGUACUCUACUGUACUGUACACUAUAGGACUGUACUCUACUGUACACUAUAGGACUGUACUCUACUGUACUGUACACUAUAGGACUGUGCUCUACUGUACUGUACACUAUAGGACUGUACUCUAGUGUACUGUACACUAUAGGACUGUGCUCUACUGUACUGUACUGUACACUAUAGGACUGUACUCUACUGUACACUAUAGGACUGUACUCUACUGUACUGUACACUAUAGGACUGUACUGUACUGUACACUAUAGGACUGUACUCUACUGUACUGUACACUAUAGGACUCUACUGUACUGUACACUAUAGGACUCUACUGUACUGUACACUAUAGGACUGUACUCUACUGUACUGUACACUAUAGGACUGUACUGUACUGUACACUAUAGGACUGUACUCUACUGUACUGUACACUAUAGGACUGUACUCUACUGUACUGUACACUAUAGGACUGUACUCUACUGUACUGUACACUAUAGGACUCUACUGUACUGUACACUAUAGGACUGUACUCUACUGUACUGUACACUAUAGGACUCUACUGUACUGUACACUAUAGGACUCUACUGUACUGUACACUAUAGGACUGUACUCUACAGUUGAAGAAAGGGUCCAUAGACUCUUGAUCUAGUGGUCUUGAGAACACAUAAACACGUGUUUUUACUUGUCUUAUUCCAACUCACUGGAUCUGGAUCUUGGGACCAAUGUCCUGGCAUAAAUCAUGGUCUUGGCUCCUGGAUAGUGCCUUAGUUUUUGGUUUACAAUAAUAGGCAUCCCAAUUUGAAGAAGACAAUGCUCUCUGAUCAUUGGCUGAUCACUCCCAACCCAUAAAGAAUCCCCACCCAGUUGACAACUUUUAAAUAGUGGAAGACCUCAAUGGCAAUCUCUAUACUAAAACGAGUUAUAUACAAUGUUCGCUUACAUUUUUUUUGUCAUUGAACAAAUUUCAGGUCUGCAGAGCGCAAACUUGAACGUUGUGAAAAUUCUGUGCAACUUUCGGCACGCGUUUACUGUGAACACUGAGGCUGUACCCGCUUUAAGUUAGUUUUAACAGUGGUCAAGUAGGCUGCUGUGGCUAUUUGAUCAUAAUGUAGACCUACCAGAGUGGCCCACCAUCAUAAACAAUGGAGAAAAUACAUCCCAUAACAUUUUAACAUGGAAAUAGCUGUUCUGUCAUUCAGCCUACAGUAGCAGCCAAUGUGUGGUGUUCAAUGUAGUCUUUUUAAAAAAACAUGCAGGUUUUGACAUUAACCUGUUUAUCCACUUGUCCUUCAGACAAGGAGGUGAUGCUAGAAACCACUUUACAAAAUAAAAUGCAUAAUUAUUUCCAUACCAAAUUAUGUCUGUCUCAAAAUACAACACUGCCCCUUUAAGACCAAAAAAAGCUCUUUACCUGAAUCGCUUUUCAAAGAUGUCUAGAAAUGUACACGUUUUAUGUUCUUGUAGGAAGCAAUCACUCCCCUAUUGCUGACUACAAAUGAUCUAUAAUUGGGCUAAUAACUCACUAACUAGCAAAGGAUAUUAACAAAUAUGACUCACCACCUGGAUUCAGUCUUACGUAGCAACAUUUGAGAUUGUGUUUUUUACAUUGGAUAAAAGUAGAGAUUCAGAGCUACAAAAUGGUAUAUCAUACACUGCAUUUGAGGAAAAAUGGGAAAGUAAUUCUGCUUUGAAAGUUGAUCAACUUCUAAACUCACUUUUAAGAAAAUGGCCUUUGAAUAUUUUGGUAUCUAUUCUUUGUCUACAUCCGUUCAGCAUUGUUCACACCCUCUUAAGGGCUCCCGAGUGGCGCAGCGUUCUAAGGCACUGCAUCUCAGUACAAGAGGUGUCACUACAGUCCCUGGUUUGAAUCCAGGCUGUAAAACCUCCGGCUGUGAUUGGGAGUCCCAUAGGGUGGCGCUCAAUGUCGUCUGGGUUUGGCUGGUGUAGGCCAUCACUGUAAAUAAGAAUUAGUUCAAUUUCAUUACGCUUUUUUGCAGAUGUUUACUGACACCGGCCAUAUUCAUACACGUUAGCUCUCGCUUUGAUCUCAAAAGAAACGCAUCUACUCACGACCGCUCAUGCUGUAAAAACAGUCCAGUUCAAAGUGAAUGGCACAGAUCCACAUAUGGCAAUGGUCUAUUUGCAUAUAGGCCUACUGCAACUCUGAUUGGUUAUGGCGCACCAGUCUGUGUAGAGUACAGGCAUGAGUCGUGCCUGUCAAUUAAAUAGAAUCCUACUCUGCUGCGUUCUGCCUACAACAACAUCUCUUGCAUAGUUAGUUUUGUUUCAGUAUGUUGCAAUGAAAGUGGCUAAUAUUGCAUUGAUUUGAUCAAAAUUCCCACAGUAAAGAAAAACGUUGGUAGUGUUAACUAACGGGGAAAACUCUAGGUAGUUGAGUGAAUUUCAAUCUUGUGCUUCUCUGCGCAGGCUGAUAUUUCUUCUGUACUGCAAUCCCGGGGGAGCUGUGUGUCCACGGAAGCGUGCAGUUUAGAGGGAACAUUGGUUAUAUCCAGCUAGAGUCCUCUAUUUAUCUCUAUGAUUGACACUUGUCACCAAAGCGCCUGUUAUUUUGCCAAAAUAAAGAUUGGUAAAGGGAUCAUUUCCACAUCUAACAACAUAAUUAGCUAGAUGCAUAUUUAAUUAAAUCUACAAGUUUGAGAUUCUUACAAUCAACAUGGAACAUUUUACAGACAAUAAUAGAGAUGAUAUUUCUCUAAAUGAAAUUGAAAGGUUUUGAAAAUCUGGUAAAAAGUCAUGUUUUUACUAUUUUCUUAAUUUGGUCUGCCAAUAACAUUUCUAAUCUGGAAUAGAAGGUUAAUCAAAAUGAAUCCAAAUGAUCACUACUGUAGACGGUUCUCCCUUAAUUUGAACUUUUCCACUUUGUUUCGGUAGUAACAAACUUAGUGGGGUGGUAAUGAAUUCAGGUAAAUAUUUCAAAUAUGCAAUAAAAAACAAAGUGUGUGAAUAGUAUAUAUGUCUACUUGACAUAUGUUGGAAGAUGUGUGCUGAAAGUUUGGGAGAAAUACAAUACAAAUAUAAAUUGAUUACCAACCCCCAAUUUACACCACGUCUGUAGAAUAGCCUGUAUACUGCAUUACUUUUGACCAGGGCCCAUAAGGUCUGGUCUACUUGCUGCAGAAAAACAAACAGGAAUCUCUCUUCACCUGAACUAACUUGUGAAUGUUUCAUGCUAGAGCAACAACAAAAAAAACAGCAAAUGUAUAAUGACAUCAUUCUCCUUUAUCGUAUCUCGCUCUUAUUGGUUACUGAAAUCCAUUAUUACACAUUUAUACAAAGUUCCACAGAGUUUAUAGUACUCUGUUGUACCUGUGUUCAUAUUAUUUUGUCUCAGUGAGUACAUAAUGGUUUAUGGAUGUUUCUCUAGCCUCGUUUACCAGACUCCUGCUACUGUAAUCAGGCUCCCAGCUGGUGAACAUGUUUAUGAUAUUGUAGCGAUCCUCGCUAUAUGAUCCACCUUACAUUCCCACC
rnacentral:lncRNA from 1 species